ACGGGUGAGUAAUGUCUGGGGAUCUGCCUGAUGGAGGGGGAUAACUACUGGAAACGGUAGCUAAUACCGCAUAACGUCGCAAGACCAAAGAGGGGGACCUUCGGGCCUCUUGCCAUCGGAUGAACCCAGAUGGGAUUAGCUAGUAGGUGGGGUAAUGGCUCACCUAGGCGACGAUCCCUAGCUGGUCUGAGAGGAUGACCAGCCACACUGGAACUGAGACACGGUCCAGACUCCUACGGGAGGCAGCAGUGGGGAAUAUUGCACAAUGGGCGCAAGCCUGAUGCAGCCAUGCCGCGUGUGUGAAGAAGGCCUUCGGGUUGUAAAGCACUUUCAGCGAGGAGGAAGGCAUUAAGGUUAAUAACCUUGGUGAUUGACGUUACUCGCAGAAGAAGCACCGGCUAACUCCGUGCCAGCAGCCGCGGUAAUACGGAGGGUGCAAGCGUUAAUCGGAAUUACUGGGCGUAAAGCGCACGCAGGCGGUUUGUUAAGUCGGAUGUGAAAUCCCCGGGCUCAACCUGGGAACUGCAUUCGAAACUGGCAAGCUUGAGUCUUGUAGAGGGGGGUAGAAUUCCAGGUGUA
rnacentral:rRNA from 1 species